rnacentral:lncRNA from 1 species
CAGGUUCCAACACUCGAGCUUCCUGUCCGGCGCCGCCACGACGGCCGCCGGGAGGCUCGUCGCCAAGGAGGGCGUCCUCAGGGCGAUCUGGCCAUACAGCGGGCACUACCACCCCACGGAGGAGAACUUCAGGGAGUUCAUCGCCUUCCUCGAGGAGAACAGCGUCGACCUCGCCAACGUCAAGCGCUGCUCCGUCGACGACGACGAGUACCCGUCGUUCAAGAAGGCGCCGGAGGAGGCCGAAGCGCCCACCGCCGAAGCUGCGGCGCACGGCGAGACCGUGGAGACGGACC